rnacentral:rRNA from 1 species
CAAAAACAUGGCCUUUUGAUUAUAAUUUAAGGUCUGGCCUGCCCAAUGAUUUAUUAAAUGGCCGCGGUAUACUGACCGUGCAAAGGUAGCAUAAUCACUAGUUUUUUAAUUGGAAGCUUGAAUGAAAGGUUGGAUGAAGAAACUACUGUCUCAAUUAAAAUUUAUUAGAAUUUUAUUAUUUUGUAAAAAGGCAAAAAUUUAUAUAAAAGACGAGAAGACCCUAUAGAGUUUUAUAGUUUUAAGAGAAAGGGUAAUUAGAAUAUAUUUUUUUAUUUUUUAAAAUUAUUUGGUUGGGGUGAUUGAAAAAUUUAAUUAACUUUUUUUGUAUAAAUACAUAGAUUUAUGAAUAUUUGAUCCUUUAAAAAGAUUAAAAGAAAAAAUUACCUUAGGGAUAACAGCGUUAUUU